rnacentral:rRNA from 1 species
UACUGGCAGCACAAGUGGUGUCCACGUAUAUUGGGUCUAAAGGGUUCGUAGCCGGUUUGUUAAGUCUACUGUGAAAUCUCGGAGCUUAACUUCGAGGCGUGCAGUGGAUACUGGCAGACUUGAGAGCGGGGGAGGUCAGGAGUACUUACGGGGUAGGAGUAAAAUCCUGUAAUCCUGUAAGGACUACCAGUGGCGUAGGCGCCUGACCAAAACGCGUCUGACGGUGAGGAACGAAGGCUAGGAGAACGAAUCGGAUUAGAUACCCCCGUA